AGAAUCAACGCUGGCGGCGUGCCUAACACAUGCAAGUCGAGCGCGAAAGGGGGGCAACUCCUGAGUAGAGCGGCGAACGGGUGAGUAACGCGUGGGUAAUCUACCUUCGAGUGGGGAAUAACCCCGGGAAACUGGGGCUAAUACCGCAUGACAUCAUCGGGUCUUCGGGUCUGAUGAUCAAAGCCGGGACGCAAGGCCUGGCGCUUGAAGACGAGCCCGCGUCCGAUUAGCUAGUUGGCGGGGUAAUGGCCCACCAAGGCUUCGAUCGGUA
rnacentral:rRNA from 1 species